UACAUCACAUCCAUGGUCAAGAGCCACCCACCAAUGCAGGGGUUACAAGAACGCGCGCUGUGACCUCACUUUUUGUAUGGGUACUAGGGGUCCAUCCCAGCGUAUCUUGCUGUCAUAGCAACCAUUCUAUUCACUGAGCUGCCUCCCCAGCCCCUGGUAUCUUUGUGUUCCGCUCCAGCUGGACUCCUCAACAAACAGUUUUUCCAGGGUCUCCUAAAGAUGCCAGUGCCCCCAGACAACAGAAAGCAGUCUAGAGAACACAACACCCACAUUCCCAAGAGAUGGAGCAUACAGGAUGCUGGAAAGAAGAAGUGUGGAGUUGCUAGCCAGACAGACAAGGAGCAAGACGUGCAGGAGGACAGGUUCAGGUUGGAGUUGCCUGAAACUUCACUCUUAUCUGCUGGUGAUGGUGGUCGUUGGUGUGGACCUCAGGCAGCUGGAGAUCUUUGCCAGGACACCCACUGUGAAAAUUAGUGUUAACUGUCAACUUGAUAGACUCGAGAAUUACUUCUGGAACCGCCUCCGAGGAAUUAUCCUGAUUGUGUUCAUUGAUGUGAGGAGACCCACCCACUGUGGGCAGCACCAUUCCCUGGCUGGGAUCCCAGCCUACACAGGUGGAGAAAGAGGGCUGAGCAGCAGCAAGCACUCGGUGCUCCCUGCUUCUGACGGUACCACUCUGUUUCAGGUCCUGCUGCCUUAACUCUUCAGUCGUGAUGGACUGUAACCCAGAUCUGUUAGUCAAAAUAAACCCUUUCUCCCUUAA